rnacentral:rRNA from 1 species
UACGAAGGGUGCAAGCGUUGUUCGGAAUUACUGGGCGUAAAGCGCACGUAGGCGGCUUUGUAAGUUAGAGGUGAAAGCCCAGGGCUCAACCCUGGAAUUGCCUUUAAGACUGCAUCGCUUGAAUCAUGGAGAGGUGAGUGGAAUUCCGAGUGUAGAGGUGAAAUUCGUAGAUAUUCGGAAGAACACCAGUGGCGAAGGCGACUCACUGGACAUGUAUUGACGCUGAGGUGCGAAAGCGUGGGGAGCAAACAGG